UUCAAUUGCAAAAACUGCAGACUUUGUUAAAAAUAGUUAUCUCAAGCUGACUGCAGUCCAUCAUCUUUAUCCAAACAACCAUUACUUGUUCAAAUAGAAUAUAUAUCUUGAAUAAUUCACGACUUAUAGUCAAAUAUCAUACUGAAAAUAUCCCAAUGUAACCACCAAAUGUAAAAGUUCAACAACACAUUGAUGUUCAUUUUAUUCUAAUAUAAGAAAACCGCAAUUUGAAGAACCACUCAUGGUCCAACAGUUAGGCUGAUUCAUCCAUGUCCUUUGCAGAGCAGCCUGCAGUGCCCCCAAGCUCUACAUUCUCAAACAUGUUGAUCCCUGCAAUCAUAAGGAUAUAGACUUGACUCAACUGAAUGCAGACAAAAUCCAAAUAAAGGUAAAUCACUAAAUGUGGAAUUCAUAUUGGGAUAAUGAAGGUGUACAUCCAAAAUUCAGAUAAAACUCGUUCCAUUGGCAAUCUUUGAAGUAAAAAAAAAAUAAAAAAAAGGUCAAGCCUGCAAGAUAUGUACCUUCAUUUGUUCUUCCCUCCUCUUUUGCUAUUAAAAACAUACAAGAAGAAAGUAAGAAAGUCAGAAUGUUGUUAAUACAUACAAUGUUUAAACGCAUGCUUUUAUCAUCUUUAUCUUAAAUGCAACAAAGAAGAAAGAAAAUAACACCUAGCCUCUGAAUAUUUUCGGCCACAACAGUUUUCAUCUUCUUCAAUUCCUGCCAACAGAAUUACGAAAAUGAUAUUUUCAAUCGACAAAACAAAACUUUUCAGCAAAUGUAUUCAAAUGGUAUACAAGACGAAAAUCUUAUUUACCUCGUAAAACUCCUCCAUCCUGUUUCAAGAAGUGAAGAAGGUUAGUAUGAUCCAUAAUCAUUCAAAAACUGUUAUUUUUAAUUAACCAACUUGUUCCCCAAGGAAAGUCAGACAGGGAUUUACCCUUUCACAGAUGAUGGAAGAAAAUAUGUAUCCAGAAAUCUACUCAGAAAUGCAACGAAAUCAUAGAAAAUAUUGUCAUUUGGACAAUAACAACAUAAUCAUUGACAUAAUAUUCCAACAUUUAAGCCAACGAAAUGCAUGGAACUACAAAGAGGGUCAUGUCCAAAUGACUGCCCACCUAAAGACAGAACAUGUUGCUGGAAAUCAUAGAUAUCAAGGAGCAUAUGUCUAUAGAUUCUUUUAAAUCGUAACAUGAAGUAAUCUUGGUGAACAACUAAUAUAAUGCUUUAUUUGAACUUGGAAACAAAAAUCAUGCUGGAUCGGAAAGUAACCUGCGCUCGCUGCAGGCCACGAAUGGCUCUCCAGACGGACUGACUGUUUGAAAUUGAAACUCUGCGCCAUACUGAACAGACAAAUCAUCAAACUUCUUCACAAGGCUAGCAUGACGCUUAGCAUAAUAGCUUUCCAUGUCUCUUACAACCUUUACUUGCUUUACCUUCCUUCUUGCCAUCUAGAAAACAAGAACUUAUCAGCAGCAUAAAAAUGAAAAGAGAAAGAAUAUAGAUAUAGGAUAAGUUACCACUCUGUACGAUCCUUCAGGUAACCACAAACAGAGAUUCAUAUUAUAAAUCUGUCGAGGCAACAGUAUUCAACAAACAGAUAUAUAUGUACACCUAACAUGAUGAAAUUGAUAUUUUAUAGACAUAAAAAGCCGUAACUUCUUCGUAGGCGAAGUAUUACAUAACAGAGAUUUAGUAAAAUACCAGAGAAGAACCCAAAGGAUUCUAUAUGUUCUUCUCCUUUGCUCCAUCCUAACUCUCUACUACCAAUGGAAGAGACAGAAAACAAUGUUUACCUGGAGUACUUCUGCUUCAAGGUGGUGAUGACCAUUGCUAUCACAUAUUGGUGGUUUAUAUAGACCGAGCUGGGUGAGCCAUAUUGAGUAAGUGAAUAGCUCCAAAUCCUAAUUUUAAUUAAAAAAGAUUUCAGUGGGACACUUGCAAAAGAAUAUCUAAUAAUAGGAAUUUUUUUAAUAUAGGGCCCUGCUUGGUUACCCCGCAAAAAUUUGCAUGAAAUUUAGCCUAAUUUAAUAUGCUUGAAACUCUUGAUAAUUAGUUUUAUGCACAAAAUUUAUGCAAAAGUUUGAUGUUAUUUC
rnacentral:lncRNA from 1 species